rnacentral:rRNA from 1 species
ACGACUGCUAAGACUGGAUAGGAAACAAAAAGGCAUCUUUUUGUUUUUAAAAGACCUUCUUAGAAAGGUAUGCUUAAAGAGGGGCUUGCGCCACAUUAGUUAGUUGGUAGAGUAAAAGCCUACCAAGACGAUGAUGUGUAGCUGGACUGAGAGGUUGAACAGCCACAUUGGGACUGAGACACGGCCCAAACUCCUACGGGAGGCAGCAGUAGGGAAUUUUCGGCAAUGGAGGAAACUCUGACCGAGCAACGCCGCGUGAACGAUGAAGUAUUUCGGUAUGUAAAGUUCUUUUAUUGAAGAAGAAAAAGUAGUGGAAAAACUAUAUUGACGUUAUUCAAUGAAUAAGCCCCGGCUAACUAUGUGCCAGCAGCCGCGGUAAGACAUAGGGGGCGAGCGUUAUCCGGAAUUAUUGGGCGUAAAGGGUGCGUAGGCUGUUAGAUAAGUCUAUAAUUUAAUUUCAGUGCUUAACGCUGUCUUGUUAUAGAAACUGUCUUGACUAGAGUGAGAUAGAGGCAAGCGGAAUUCCAUGUGUAGCGGUAAAAUGUGUAAAUAUAUGGAGGAACACCAGAAGCGUAGGCGGCUUGCUGGGUCUUUACUGACGCUGAGGCACGAAAGCGUGGGUAGCAAACAGGAUUAGAUACCCUGGUAGUCCACGCCGUAAACGAUGAGUACUAAGUGUCGGGGUAAAACUCGGUACUGAAGUUAACACAUUAAGUACUCCGCCUGAGUAGUACGUACGCAAGUAUGAAACUUAAAGGAAUUGACGGGACUCCGCACAAGCGGUGGAUCAUGUUGUUUAAUUCGAAGAUACACGAAAAAUCUUACCAGGUCUUGACAUACUCUGCAAAGCUAUAGAAAUAUAGUGGAGGUUAUCAGGAAUACAGGUGGUGCAUGGUUGUCGUCAGUUCGUGUCGUGAGAUGUUAGGUUAAGUCCUAAAACGAGCGCAACCCUUGUCGUUAAUUGCCAGCACGUAAUGGUGGGGACUUUAACAAGACUGCCAAUUAAACAUUGGAGGAAGGUGAGGAUUACGUCAAAUCAUCAUGCCCCUUAUGAUCUGGGCUACAAACGUGAUACAAUGGCUGUGACAAAGAGUAGCUGAAACGCGAGUUUUUAGCCAAUCUCAAAAAAGCAGUCUCAGUUCGGAUUGAAGUCUGUAACUCGACUUCAUGAAGUUGGAAUCGCUAGUAAUCGCGAAUCAGCAUGUCGCGGUGAAUACGUUCUCGGGGUUUGUACA